AGUGAACGCUGGCGGUAGGCCUAACACAUGCAAGUCGAACGGCAGCACAGUAAGAGCUUGCUCUUACGGGUGGCGAGUGGCGGACGGGUGAGGAAUACAUCGGAAUCUACUUUUUCGUGGGGGAUAACGUAGGGAAACUUACGCUAAUACCGCAUACGACCUACGGGUGAAAGCAGGGGAUCUUCGGACCUUGCGCGAUUGAAUGAGCCGAUGUCGGAUUAGCUAGUUGGCGGGGUAAAGGCCCACCAAGGCAACGAUCCGUAGCUGGUCUGAGAGGAUGAUCAGCCACACUGGAACUGAGACACGGUCCAGACUCCUACGGGAGGCAGCAGUGGGGAAUAUUGGACAAUGGGCGAAAGCCUGAUCCAGCCAUACCGCGUGGGUGAAGAAGGCCUUCGGGUUGUAAAGCCCUGUUGUUGGGAAAGAAAAGCAGCAGGUUAAUACCCCGCUGUUCUGACGGUACCCAAAGAAUAAGCACCGGCUAACUUCGUG
rnacentral:rRNA from 1 species